UUACGGCCAUAUCAUGUUGAAACACCGGUUCUCGUACGAUCACCGAAGGUAAGCAACAUCGAAUCUCGUCAGUACCUAAAUGGGUGAUCACUUGGUAAUGGUAGGCGCUGUAA